AAACUCUGCUGUCUGCUCACUUGCGGACAAAUCUUUUGCCUUUUACUAGAGAUUUCCGUGGGGAGGCACAGUGCAAUGAGUCUUGCUUCAUUUUUUUCAGCUCUGUCUUCGGACAGAGU
rnacentral:snRNA from 1 species